AUACGGAGGGUGCGAGCGUUAAUCGGAAUUACUGGGCGUAAAGCGUACGUAGGCGGUUGGUUAAGUUAGAUGUGAAAGCCCCGGGCUUAACCUGGGAACUGCAUUUAAAACUGGCGAACUAGAGUUGAGUAGAGGGGAGUGGAAUUUCAGGUGUAGCGGUGAAAUGCGUAGAGAUCUGAAGGAACAUCAGUGGCGAAGGCGACUCCCUGGACUCGAACUGACGCUGAGGUACGAAAGCGUGGGUAGCAAACGGGAUUAGAAACCCCUGUAGUCC
rnacentral:rRNA from 1 species